rnacentral:ncRNA from 7 species
CUAUACAGUCUACUGUCUUUCC